CACGCGAGCUGGGUUCAGAACGUCGUGAGACAGUUCGGUCCCUAUCCGUCGCGGGCGUAGGAAAUUUGAGAGGAGCUGUCCUUAGUACGAGAGGACCGGGAUGGACAUACCGCUGGUGUACCAGUUGUUCCGCCAGGAGCAUCGCUGGGUAGCUACGUAUGGACGGGAUAAGUGCUGAAAGCAUCUAAGCAUGAAGCCCCCCUCAAGAUGAGAUUUCCCAUGGCGUAAGCCAGU
rnacentral:rRNA from 1 species